AGGGAGAGCUCACCCGGAAAGUGCAGCUGUUCGAAAGGGCACCUCACCCAGAAGCCCAGGCUGGUGGAGAACUGCAGAGAGGACGUGGCUGCCCAAGUUCCUCCUGCACCCAUGGCACGGCUCAUCCACAGGCCUGCUGACAUGAUGGUGAAGGGCCCCAAGGUAGGACGGUGCGCCCAGGAGGGGAACGUGUGUGUGCUCGGUGGGUGCUUCCAGGGCCCCAGGACUCCCAGGGCCCUUCAAGACCUAGGGGGUCUGUGAGGAAGGCCCCCACUGGGGCUCGCCCCCGAGAGGGAGUAAAGGGAGAAGGGUCAGGCCCUGCAGCUCCUCCUGUUCUUGGGAAGGACCACCCUUAAGACGAGGUUGAACUGUUGAAAUGAAGGUGAAGGGAGGGAAGCCCGGGGAAGAUGAACAGCAAGACCCCUCUCUGCAGAGUAAGCAGAAAUGAGUGCCUGCAGGGGUCAGAGCUCGGAGAACUGAGAUGAGGCGCAGGCCCGGGGACACCAACCGGCCAUCCCUCCCGUCCUCGGGUCACAGCGCUUCCACUCAGAGGCCUUCCUCCACCAAAACGGGCAGGUGGGUGAUGGUGAAGGCCUGCUGUCCGCAGGAGGGGCAGGGGCACCACUGAGGCUCGGUCAGACUGCCGCACUCAGCCACCGUGGCGGCACCCGGAGCUCGGAGAGUCCCUGCUCAGCAGCUCCAGAAACAGAUGGCAGGGACCGUGGGGGCCACGGGAUCUGGAUCUGUCCCCAGAGCAGAAGCCUGUGGAUCCCCCAUGGCUCAGACGGAGUGAGGGGGACCAGAUCUACCCUCCUGCCUGAAACAGCCUGGAAAACUGGACAGAAUAUAUGGAGCAAAGAUCUUAAGGACACGAAGAAACAAGGACGGUGAUGCCCGAGAGAAGGGAGACAGACAAGCAAACUCCAGGGGGGCCACUGCCAUCGCAACAGGGUUCUGGGCACAGGCAGGGGCCAGGGAGACCUGGCCUCUUCCUGAGCGAAGGGGUGGGGACAGACCCAGCGAGAUGGGAGGAGGGGAUACGAGGGCUCUGGAGGGUGUCCAGCAGAGCAGCGUCAGCACGCAGGUGUGAGGAGGCCGGCAGAGGCAGGGCCGAACCAACCUCAAGGAUUUGGGGAACAGUACCCUGCACCCACACAGGGCAGGUAGCCCCGUUCCCAGCCAGAUUAGAAGCCUUGCAGUUCACCAGGCUCUGGGUGCAGCGUACACGAGAGACCUGCCUCUGUGAGGGGAAUCACCAGCCUCAGACUGAGCCACACUCUGGUGUGGCCUAACAAGCCUGGAAAGCAGGACCCAAAAAGAUGAAGCUGUUUCCAAAAACUGACAAGAUGAUUCCAAAAUUCAUAUGGAAAUGCAAAGGCUCUAGAACAGCCAGAUAAGCUUUGAUAAAGGACAAAUCAGAAGCCUGACACGGACCACUUUCAGGACUUAAUAUAAAGUGAUCGCGUACAGGGAUCAGGACCGCGCUGUAUUGGUGUCAAGACAGACAAAUGGACGGGACAGAAGACAGCCCCAAAGUAGACGCGUCCACACAGGGACAACUGAUUUUCAACAAACCUGCCAGGCGGCUCACUGAAGGAAGGACAGUCUUUUCAAUAAAUAGCGCUGGAUCAACUGGAUGUCCGAAUGCAAAAAAAAUGAGCUUUAAUCCAUUCGUUGCACUAUACACAAAAUUCACUCAAGAUGGAAUUUAGACUUAAACAUAAAACUAAAAAACUUUAAAAAGAAAAACAUAAUAAAAACUUUGUGAUCUUGUGAGCUACGAAAAGAUUUCUUAGCUACAGCACUGAAUCAUGACCCUUUAAAAGAAAAAAUUUGAUAAACUAGACUUCAUCAAAAUUCAUCUUUGAAAGACACUGUUAAGAGAUUGAAAAUACAAGUCACAAGCUGGGGGAAAUACUUGCAAAGCAUAUAUCUGAUAAAAAAAACUUGUAUUCAGAGUCUGUGAAGAACUUUCCAAAUUCAGUAAUAAGGAAACCAACAACCCAAUAAAACCUGGACAAAAGCUUGGACAGAGACUUCACCUCUGAAGACACAAAUGCAAGCAAGCAUGUAAGAGACGCCCACCACCGUCAGGCAUUAGGGAAACACAAACUGAAACCGCAACACACCUCUGUCACCUACGAAAAGGGUCGGAUCCUAGGGGACUGACUGUACCAAGUGCUCAAAAGGGGUGGAGGGACUGAGUCCUCACCGGCUGCUGGGGGGAAUGUAGAAUGUAAAGUGCUUUAUGAUCUGGUGACUUCUUUAGUAGGUAGGCACCUGCUAUGUGAUACAGCCGUUCCAUGUGUGAUAUUUACCUGCAUAAUGAGAAAGCCUUGCCCGUGAAUGUUCUCUGUGGUUUUACAUUUAGUGGCCCGAACCUGGGAGCAGCCUAAAUGUCCAUCAACAGGAGACUCAGCAAACAGACCGCGGGAGAGCGAUGCAACGGCGUGGAUUUUUGACCCGUGAUGAAUCUAAGAAUAAUUAUACUGAGUGGGAGAAGUCAGACGUAAGAGUACACACAGUCUGAUUUCACUUCUAUAAAAUUUUAGGAAGUGCAAACUAUUGUCUAUGGACAGAGAGAUCUGUGGUUGUUGGGGGAGGAGGAGAUGGGGAAGGGCUUCCAAGGGGACAAGGACACUUUGGGAGGGAUGGAAAUAUGCAUUAUCCUGACUGUGGUAAUAGUCUCACAGGUGUAAACAUACGUAAGACCUUAGCAAAUUGAUUACUUAAAAUAUGUACAGUUUGCAUUAAUGUCAGUUAUAUGUCAAUAAUACUUAAAAGGUCAUUUCCUCUCCCUGCCCAUUUACAAUGUGUGUUGGAGAACAGCAAGCUUCCGAAUCCUCCCCCACACACAGUGGGACACGUACGGAGCUUGGCCCCCUGGCAGGGGUACUCCCCCAACUCAGUCCAAGUUUACACAGAUCAGAAGUGGGAAAAAGAAACAAUAAUAAUAAGGAAGGAGACUUAGACACCCAGGGCACAACUGUCUUCAUGCCCUCCGGGACUCCUUCAUCAGCACCCUCACACCCUCAGGGGCGAGGGGGCUACAGCAGGGGUGGGGCAAGGGGAACAGCAGGCUCAGCCCCCGCCCCCUCCCAAACCGAUGGAGGUUUUUUUAAAAAGCUAGUGAACGGUUGUUUCGCCCUUUGCUCUCACUGUGUGCUCAGUGCUAAACAGCAGGAGUGACAAGACCCUCCUCCCAACUGGUCCAAGAUUUAAGCAACUGCCGGCCCUGCUCGCCCGGGACCCACCGUCGUCUCGGGACUCAUGUAGUGGAGACACUAGGAGCCUCCGGGGGGACCCCACUCAGGGCGCCGGCUGGGAUUGAGGGAGAGGCCGCCUGAAGGGCACAGCCGGAGCCCUGGCUGGCCACAGGCCUCCUGGCCGAGCCUGGGUGGUUAGUCAGGUGAGUGACUGUGAGGAGAACCUUGUCCCCAGGUCUGAUGCUCCCUCGCCAUUGGGGGUCACCCACAGGGCUUGGCGGCUGCGGUCCUACGGAAAGUGACCGUGCUGUAGAAUUCCCCAUCCAAGUUAUCCUUCACGUGUGUGAGAACUUCCUCCUCCACGCAAGAAGUGAGAAAUAUGCAUCUUCUGACCUUUUCUAGAAGAAAACAAAGGCCUAUUCCAGCCCCAACCAAGGAAAGGACCCAAACCAGAAUAUUAAAAAAUGGCACAGAUUGACAGAAGUGAAGGGCUCAUGGUUAUGCUGGGAAAUGACGAAAUAUGUACUUAAGUAUAAAGGUUGCAAAGGGUAAGGUGGCUACUAAAAAAUAAGAUGCAUAACAAUAGGGAGAAGCUUCGUCUCGGGUUCAGCUGACAGCAGGGGGAGAGGGGCAGGUGCCGGAGGAGGACACACCGAAGUGCUUGUGGCACACGGCCCCGGGGUCCCCCGCUGCCACCGCGAGGAGUGACCAGGAGCCCAGAACUCACCACCAAGACUCAGGGAGAAGUAAAUAUAUUCAGUCAUAUUCAAAGAUUUAAAGACUGCCACAGAGCCUUACUAUAAGAAUACCUAACAGAUGUGUUUUAAAAGGAGAAAUAUGAACCCAAAAGGAAGAAGUGGGUUAGGAAAGGAAAGUGAGCCGGGGGGCCGGUGCAGCACGUUGGGGGCCUUAGGUCCAUAUCGAUGGGGGCACUGCUGGGUGUCCAAAACUAGUUGGGAGUUUCAUUUCUGAUGUGAUAGUCCAGGCUUUUCAGGCCAGUUCACUGUUGAAAACAGCAAGCCAUGUGCAGUAAAAGGCUUACUUAUGAAAAAAUUCUUAAAAAUGUGUGAGAGCUGAAAAAGGAACCUGGAUCAUCAGGCCCAAACUCAGAAAGGCCAGAGGGGCACAGAGCUCGGGAGGCAUGAGCCCUAGGGCAUGUCCCAGCCCAGGGGGCUGAGGGCUUUGGGGCAGGCACAGGCCAGGGGAAUCCCUGAGCCCCCUGGAAUCACGUGGGCCCUCGUCCUGGGUGUGGGCGAGAGUCAGGGGGAACCCACCCCUCCCCAGGCCCUGGGGCCCUGGACGAGGGCUUCUCCAAGCAAGCAGGGACAAGGGUGGGGCUCCCUGGAGAUCCAGGAAUCUCAGGAGGGUCUGGGUGUUGCGUCCAGCCCAGGUUCGCACCUCCAAGAAGACCCAGGAAACCUCAACCAGUGAUUUAAUUGGAAACAGCCCUGACGUCACACAUUGCUCCUGGAUACUCCUCAGAGACAGGUGAGUCUGGUCUGAGGGACGCCUCUUCUUCCUAGGCCUUGGGGGAGCACCAAGAGUCAUUUCUCAAGGGCCUGGAGCAGAUGUAUUUAAAGAUAAACAUGUUGGGAAACCGAAAGCCAAGAGGGAGAAGCAGCAGACAGCCCCACGGCGCCUCCGCGAACAGAGGCAGACGCGCACUGCGGGCCAGCUGUGCCGGACACCUGCCUGCAAAUGUGUGCGGUGGGAGAGACUAUAAAGAGGAACCUAGCACGUCUGAGAGAAACGAAUACAAUUUUCAGAAACGAAACCCACGGAAACAGAAACAUAGAAUGCAAUAAAUGAUUUUAAGAGCAGAUUGGACAUCACUGCAGAAAGAAUUAGUGAAGGGAAGGAUCACACUGAAUGAUCUGGAAAGGAGACAAAAAGAUGGAAGACACAGAAGAGAGGUCAAGAAACGUGGGGAAAGAAGUAAAAUGUGUAAGAUGUUCCCUGAUCGGGAGUUCAGGAGGAAAAGCCGAGAGAACAGAGGCAGAAGUGGAGAUGACAGCCGACCUUCACAGGUUUACACGGGAAACCGAACGUGCGGGCCGGUCUCACUGUUACUGUUUAGAAGAGCUGCAAAAUCCUAAAUGAAAUUUUAGCAAAUGGGCUUGAUAGUAUGUUAAACAUAACCAGAUAGGACUUGUUUUAGAAUUGCAAGUGUGGUCCACAUUAGAUAACCUACCGGUAAAAUGCACCUCAUUAAAAGAUUAAAGGAGGAAAAUUAUAUGAUUACCUCCAUAGAUAUGUAAAGUUUUCAUAAAAUUCAACACUUACUCAUGAUAAAAGAAUGUUUAGCACACUAAGGAAAGAAAGGCACUUCUUGUCUAGAUGUGGAAAUCUCCAAACACCCAAUAAACCCAAUAUUAAUGAUAAAUCCUGGGGAUCUUUGCCACUGAUAUGAGGACUGAGGCUAGGGUUCCCCAUUCAACAUUGUCCUGAAGAUUCAAACCAAUUCCAUAACAUCAAAAACAAACAAACAUAAGCUUAUAAACUAUCAUUAUUUGCAUAAUAUGUGAUGAUUAUCUAUAUACAAAAACUUAAGAGAAUCAGUGAGAAAUCUAUCAAAAAUAACAGAUUUUAAUAAAUAUGUUGGAUACAAGAUCAAUAUACAAAAACAGCAUUGCUUUACACCAGCAAAAACCAACUAGAAUAUGUAAUAAAGUAUGGAAAUCAUUCACAGUAUCCUUCAACCUCUGAAGAAAGAUUUGAGAAAGACCUAAAUAGGUGGAAAGGCAUACCAUGUUCAUGGUUGGAAGACUUAACUCAGGUCAUUUCUGCUUGAAAUUGAUCAAUAAAUUCAAUGUGGUUCUAAUAAAAAUGUGUGAUAUUGUGACUUAUAAUAAGAAAC